rnacentral:lncRNA from 1 species
CAAUGAAAUGAAAUAAAGUUAUGAUUAGAGAUGAAAGAGGGAAGUGCUAGGGAUAUAAGAUAAGAUAACCUUUCAAUGAUAAAACUGAAAUUUCUUCCUUAUUGUAUGCAGCUGGAGAUCCUUAAGUAGAUAUUCGUUCUAGCACUUCUACCAUCUUUGCUUUGUAUUUUGUGUUUAUUGCAUGUUUUGAUCACAAAUAGAAGUUUUACUUUCUCAAAUGCCCUGCAUUUUACUCAUUUAAUAACUAUUGUUAUGUAUGUUUCAUCAACAAGGGGAUAAUCAGGUUUAAAUUUAGUUCUUCUGAUUGUGUUCUACUAGUUAGGAACCCGUGCAACGCACGGGCGAGGACAAUUGAAUUAUCCGAUUAAAUACAUCGUUUAGACAAUACAACAAACAAUAACUUCAUUGUAUCAUUCAGAUAAUUAAUAUAGAUAGAGUUAGAACUGAAAAUCAUAAUAAACUAUAACACAUCAAACAUAAUUGUUUUUGAAGAAGACAAUUAUUGAUGUUGAUUAAUGAUAUCAACAUUCAAAUAAUCAGGUGGAUCUAAGACAGUAAACCGAACUCUUGUGUCAGGUUGUAUGUUAGCAUUCUGAACAAAUUCAAACCAUCCCCCAGAUAUAGACCUCUCAUUCCUAUUUCUUGAAGAUGUUUUGAUGGCACAAUUCAGGGAAAUAUUUGUGUUGUCUAAAACCAUAACAAUUUGGUCUUGUUGCGGUCUCAAACACAUCCUACUUAUGCUUGUAGGAAAAUGCUUGAUAGUGAAAAAUUAUCUGGAACUAAGGAUAAUUUUUCAUAAUCAAAGAAUUAAAGUUUCAAUUUGUCUAUGCAAACAGCUAUACAUCUUGAAAAACGAAAAGCAAAAUUUGAGAACCCACGAACAAUAUCAUUUGAAGAACACUAUGGUUUAAGAAAAAAUAGAGGUGACUAAUUCAUCAAAGACUACAUAAAAUCAUACAGCUUCCCGUGCAUUUUUUAGAGAUAUAAAAUUUGAAGAUAAAAAUUUAAAGGAUAUUUAUUUUGAAACUCAACCAUAUCAGACACUUACCACACAUCAUUUUUUUUUUGAAGACACUUACCACACAUCAUAACAAUCAUGGAUAACCUAAAUCCAUGAAAUUUAACAAACAUGAAUUCAUAUAGAAAAUAAAAACAAUCUUCAAUAGUUUNNNNNNNNNNNNNNNNNNNNNNNNNNNNNNNNNNNNNNNNNNNNNNNNNNNNNNNNNNNNNAGAUUAACCUCAAAGUGAAUGCAUAUGGAGAAGAAUGCACAAUAGUUCGAUUGAAUGGUUAAGGUACUUCCUGACAUUAAAUUGAUAUAAAGAUCAAUAAUUCCUUGUUACUUGCUAUUGUAACUGUGUUGUGAGGUAGUAAGUUUAGGGAUCAAACUACUAUAAGCAUCUAAAUUAUGCAAAGGUUUUUCAAACAACACUGUUAGUAGGAUUUUCAAAUCGUUGAGAGUAAAAUCAACUAAAAUUAAACUUUAAAAAUUAUCAAUGCAAGGCCAACUCAAACACAUCUAAUGACUAAUUUGAACCGAUAAUUAGAUAUUCAAAUCAAAGAACAUAAAAAUUCAUGUUAUAAGAAAUGAACAUAUAAGGAAAGAUAAUUAAAUAGUCAAAUAGGAUAAUAGUCAUUUUUUACUUGAACAAAAAUAACAUGAACAGAAAAUUAUGCAAUUUGAAAGAACUAUGCAGUUUUAAAUCAAUUUCAGUCUAAAUGCAAUCACAAUUUAAAAAAGUCAAGUAUCCAAAAAUGCUAAUAGAAUUAAUAGAUAUCAAGUUCACAUAUCAGUGCAAUUUCAGGUUUAGUAAAUGUAGCCAUGUGUUUACCAAAUGCAGCUAUCACNNNNNNNNNNNNNNNNNNNNNNNNNNNNNNNNNNNNGCCCUCAAAUCCUUGGUCAAACAAUGGGCAUAAAGCACUGAAAUUCCUAAAUGGCUUGAGCCCUAUUAUCCAUACCUUUUGGUUUCAGGCCAUGCCUUUCAGUCAACACAUGUAGUCUAGUUAAAAGCUAUGUAAAUCAAGAUUAAAAUAAAAAAUUAAAUCAUGAUUAAUAUAAGAGACUAAGAAAACAUAAAAUACGCAAUUAAGGAGAUUAAUUGAAACAUGUAUUCUUGUAACAAAUAGUUGAAAUUGAAUUAGAAUAAUGCUAGCAAAAUAGCUUUCCCAUUGGUUGAAUAUUAACAUUCACACCUUUCGUGUGCUUCAAGUAUAAUUUUCAAUAUAUCAUAAAUGUAUUCAAUAUUAAAAU